GUUGUUUUGGUCCUGAACACACUAUUAUUUUAAACUGACCUUACACAUGCAAGCAUCCACGCCCCCGUGCCCACGCCCAACCCCCUGUCAUCAUGGGUGGAGCAGGUAUCAGGCACACAACUAAAGUAGCCCAAGACGCCUUGCCACGCCACACCCCCACGGGCCCCAGCAGUGAUCGACAUUGAGCAAUGAGCCAAAGCUCGACUCAGUCACAGUUAUCUAGAGCUGGUAAACUCCGUGCCAGCCACCGCGGUUACACGAAUGGCUCAAAAUAAUUAAUUACGGCGUUAAACGUGACUAGAAACAACUUACACAAGGGUGACAUGACCAGUAGAACAGCUGUAAAACGCAAAUUCCACCUGAUACCACCACUAGGCCACCCGAAACAAGACAUUUUGAACUCACGAAAGUUGAGGCACAAACUAGGAUUAGAUACCCUACUAUGCUCAACCGUUAACACAGAUAGAACCACCACACCUCUAUCCGCCAGAGAAUUACAAGCAAACUCAAAACUCAAAGGACUUGACGGUGUCCCAAACCAACCUAGAGGAGCCUGUCCUAUAAUCGAUAAUCCACGCUACACCUCACCCCCUCUCGAAACCAGUCUGUAUACCGCCGUCUUUCAGUUCGCCUUAUGACAGACCCAUAGCGAACACAACAGCCCAUCACUCAAACGUCAGGUCAAGGUGCAACUAAUGAGGGGGCAGCGAUGGGCUACAUUUUCUAUAACAGAACACCACCACCCACCACAUGAAACAUGGGCCAUAAGGCGGAUUUAGCAGUAAGCCAAACAAGACUGUUUGACUGAAGCCUGCUCUGGGACGCGCACACACCGCCCGUCACCCUCCUCAACAAACCAAUUAAAAAUUCAUAAACCACAUACAACUAACAAGAGGAGGCAAGUCGUAACACGGUAAGCGUACUGGAAAGUGCGCUUGGACCA
rnacentral:ncRNA from 1 species